GAAAUGCGAUAAGUAAUGUGAAUUGCAGAAUUCAGUGAAUCAUCGAAUCUUUGAACGCACAUUGCGCCCCCUGGUAUUCCGGGGGGCAUGCCUGUUCGAGCGUCAUUUCACCACUCAAGCCUCGCUUGGUAUUGGGCGACGCGGUCCGCCGCGCGCCUCAAAUCGACCGGCUGGGUCUUUCGUCCCCUCAGCGUUGUGGAAACUAUUCGCUAAAGGGUGCCGCGGGAGGCCAUGCCGUAAAACAACCCCAUUUCUAAGGUUGACCUCGGAUCAGGUAGGGAUACCCGCUGAACUUAAGC
rnacentral:misc_RNA from 1 species